GGCGGUCUGUGGCCGUCCGAGUUGUAAUCUAGAGAAGUGUUACCCGUGCUGGACCGUGUACAAGUCUCCUGGAAUGGAGCGUCAUAGAGGGUGAGAAUCCCGUCUCUGACACGGACUCCCAGUGCUUUGUGGUAUGCUCUCAAAGAGUCGAGUUGUUUGGGAAUGCAGCUCAAAAUGGGUGGUAAAUUCCAUCUAAAGCUAAAUAUUGGCGAGAGACCGAUAGCGAACAAGUACCGUGAGGGAAAGAUGAAAAGAACUUUGGAAAGAGAGUUAAACAGUACGUGAAAUUGCUGAAAGGGAAACGCUUGAAGUCAGUCGCGUUGGCCGGGGAUCAGCCUCGCUUUUGCGUGGUGUACUUUCUGGUUGACGGGUCAGCAUCAAUUUUGACCGCUGGAAAAAGGUUUGAGGAAUGUGGCAGCUCCGCUGUGUUAUAGCCUCUUGUCAUAUACAGCGG
rnacentral:rRNA from 1 species